rnacentral:rRNA from 1 species
UUGUACUGGGAAACAUGUUCCACCAUGGGCAUGUCCGUGAAUGUAAAGUCCACUGGAAUGUGGCAGCGCUUCGGCGUUCUUUGGGUCAGAGAGGGUGAAAACCCCGUUUACAUUCAUUGUGGGGCGUGUCUGUUGUGUGGGCGUGUUGAAGAGUCGGAUUGUUUGGGAAUGCAAUCCAAAACGGGUGGUAAAUUCCAUCCAAGACUAAAUAUUAGCAUGAGACC